CUGAGAAAACACUGCAUCACCAUGAUGCUGGGCAUGCAUGGCUGCGCCUCUUGUGGAGCUGAACUACAAGUAGAAGAUGGUCAUGACCUGUGCUACGCCUGCCGAGGUGUUGGCCACCUGCGUGUGAGGCCUUUUCUGACCCCUGCAUUAACUGUGCCAUCCUGUUUGUGAAGGUACCAACAACAAUGCUCAGACAGAGGAGGCCCAGGAAACGGCCCUGCCGGGGCCAACAUCAAACUGGUCAGCUCAACACUUCUCAUAGAGCGGCACCUGGUCAAAUAUCUGCUGGCUGCAGAAACCAAUGUCCAUGUUGCCACACAGACGUGGCUGACGUGAUUCUGCAGACGGGGGCUGACCUGAAUCAUGAAUCGAAGAGGGGACCAGAACCCCUCGAAUGAAAGUCAAGCACGACCAAUGUUUAGUGAGGUCAUUUGCACUCACGAUUAAAGGAGAUCCAUGAAGUGAACAUGGACAGCAUCUCUAAGCCUGAUUUCUCAUAGGAGGACGGGUUGGACGGGACAGUGCAUUUCCUCAAAAUCAAGGUAGUCCCUGACAGUUGGAAGAUGGACCUGAGCGAGAUCUUAGAAUCGUCGAGGAGGACAAGGAAGGAAAGGAGAGCGAAGAGGAGAAAGAGGUGCUAAGGGUGGUCACACAAUUGUGGUGUCCUAGCUCCUCAACUACCCCAACAACAUUGUUUCGGGCCCCAUGCCAGACUUAUCUCAUCUCUCACCCCCCUCCCAAGACACCUCUCAGGCUCCAUGACUUCCAUUCCAAGCCCUGGCCAUGGUAGUGCCUCCCCAAGAGCCAGACAGGGUACCCUCCAACAUCACAAUACCUCCACUUGUCAUCACAAAAGAGGCUGAGCCCCCUACAGGUUAACGCCGUUGCUGCAGAGUGCAUUGUGGAAGAGACUGAGAGCAAGCUGAAUGAGUUGAGCCAAUGGAUCUCAGCCAUAGAGAAGGCAGAGCUGCAGCAGAAGAAAAUCCUCAAGGAGCAGUUAACCAAAGUGUACAUGAAGGUCAAAGGCCUGAAGGAUGACCCAGGAAAAGUAGUUGCUGGAGAUGAUCGUGGACUACAGGAAAAGGAGGGCCGAACAGGCCUCCAUUAACAUCGACGGGGCUGUAGUGGAGCGGGUCGAGAGUUUCAAGUUCCUUGGUGUCCACAUCACCAACAAACUAUCAUGGUCCAAACACACCAAGACAAUCAUGAAGAGGGCACGGCAACACCUUUUCCCCCA
rnacentral:lncRNA from 1 species